rnacentral:rRNA from 1 species
UCAUGCGCUAAUAGCUCUCUGCAAGUCUCACAUGGUCGCCCACUGAAGAUAAGCAAGGGUGCACUUGGUCAGUACCUGGAUGGGAGACCACAUGGGAAAGCUAGGUUGCUGCUGAAG